rnacentral:rRNA from 1 species
GGUCGUUCUAGACUGCAGAAGGCUGGUUCACCUCCUUCUAGACUGCAGAAAGGGGCUUGCUCUUUUGAAGUUAGCGGCGGACGGGUGAGUAACACGUGGGUAACCUGCCCAUAAGACUGGGAUAACUCCGGGAAACCGGGGCUAAUACCGGAUAACAUUUUGAACCGCAUGGUUCGAAAUUGAAAGGCGGCUUCGGCUGUCACUUAUGGAUGGACCCGCGUCGCAUUAGCUAGUUGGUGAGGUAACGGCUCACCAAGGCAACGAUGCGUAGCCGACCUGAGAGGGUGAUCGGCCACACUGGGACUGAGACACGGCCCAGACUCCUACGGGAGGCAGCAGUAGGGAAUCUUCCGCAAUGGACGAAAGUCUGACGGAGCAACGCCGCGUGAGUGAUGAAGGCUUUCGGGUCGUAAAACUCUGUUGUUAGGGAAGAACAAGUGCUAGUUGAAUAAGCUGGCACCUUGACGGUACCUAACCAGAAAGCCACGGCUAACUACGUGCCAGCAGCCGCGGUAAUACGUAGGUGGCAAGCGUUAUCCGGAAUUAUUGGGGCGUAAAGCGCGCGCAGGUGGUUUCUUAAGUCUGAUGUGAAAGCCCACGGCUCAACCCGUGGAGGGUCAUUGGAAACUGGGAGACUUGAGUGCAGAAGAGGAAAGUGGAAUUCCAUGUGUAGCGGUGAAAUGCGUAGAGAUAUGGAGGAACACCAGUGGCGAAGGCGACUUUCUGGUCUGUAACUGACACUGAGGCGCGAAGCGUGGGGAGCAACAGGAUUAGAUACCCUGGUUAGUCCACGCCGUAACGAUGAGUGCUAGGUGUAGAGGUUUCCGCCUUUAGUGCUGAAGUACGCAUAAGCACUCCGCUGGGGAGUACGGCGCAGCUGAACUCAAGGAAUGACGGGGCCGCCAGCGGUGGACUGGGUAUCGAGCCCGGAGACCUAAGUCUUGCUCCUGGAACUUGAGAUGGCUUUCUUCGGGCAGAGCCGGGGCAUGGUUUCCCACUCGGUCGUGGAUG